GAUCCGGGUUCGCCCCCAAGCCGGGGCCGGGAGCGGUCCCCGCCCCGCUGAAGAGCCUGUAGUUUUUGGGACCACUGCCCAGAGAGAACCCGCCGAGACUCUCUGCUUCCUGAGUUUCUUUUCUGGAGGUUUGGCUGGAGAGCAGCCCGGAGAACAUUCCCCUACUGCCUGACCAUGGGAAGUCAUAGGAGGAGCACCGAUGUGUGAGAAUUGAGACACAGUGCUGCCCACCAUGUCUCUCCACUUCUCAUUAUGGCUGUACAACCAGUUUCAGAAGGCUUCUGUGAGAUAACGAAAUGUUUCCUGGGAACCUUCCACCAAAGUCAUAUAUCAGGCGUUCGAGUCUAGACCAGUCACUGCCCCAGGGCAGUCCAGGUUUACAUUUACUCUCCCAUACUUUCUGCAUACUUCUCUAGUCAAGCUUGCCAUUCUCUUUGCCUAGGGGGACUCAGUUUCCCUGUAGGCUGAUGUCUGCUGAGUCAGUGGGGAUAGGGCAGUUUGACCCAUGAGAUUUACCUGCUCAGGGCCAGGACCUAACUGGUGAUUGUGAAAAAUCACUCAGCGUGAAUAGGUUUGUAGAAGGCCGCCACCAUCAUAGGGGCCACAGCUAGAAGCUAGAGUGUGUCCCAUUGGCAAGCCCGGCCCCUCAGCUUUCCUACAGAAUCUCAAGAAAGUGAGAACUUCAGAGAUUCCCUUGGGUGCAAAACAACAGCACAAGCCCAGAAGGAGUGGAGACCUCACAACACACGAGAUCCUGGACAUGAGGCAGACCCUGUAACCACAGCAGUUGUCUCUUUGGGUUGGUAAAUGAAAUAAUGCUUUGAAUGUAGGCUCUAGGGCAGAGAUGGACUUGAGGAAAACACCACAUAGGAUAACUGAAUAUGAAACACUAGGAAUAAAGGUCUGUAUCAUUUUAAUGCAUAGUCACUCCAUGGGAAGAUGUUUAAAAAAUAGAAACAGAUUUCUGAUGUGAAUUUUAAUUUACAAGAUCUUCUCUUCCCUGAUGUCUCCUUCUUCCUCUUUUUUUUUCUCAUUCUUUUCCUUUCAUCUUCUCCUAGUCAAUAAAGAGCAACGGGACUUGACAUCCAGAGAGAAAGAAAUAUGAGGAGCCACACCCCACAAUUUCAUCUUGUAAAUGAGCUUAGGAAAGGAGAACAGGAGGGAAAGCCCCCGGGGCUGUCGGCCUGGGCUUCUGUCACUGCAGACAUCUGGCUUUUAAUGACAUGAUAUGGGAAGAAUCAUUUGGCACCAUCAUUGCUGUUAAAUGUCUUUCAAGCAUUAAUAAAACAUAAGAGACUCGCU
ensembl:processed_transcript 4930461C15Rik RIKEN cDNA 4930461C15 gene